AGCGAACGUUUGCGGCGGGCUUAACACAUGCAAGUCGAACGAGAAUCCCUUCGGGGAGGAAAGUGGCGCACGGGUGCGUAACACGUGGAUAACCAACCCAUUGGUUUGGGACAACACCGGGAAACUGGUGCUAAUACCAGAUGUGUCGCAGCUGUCUUCAGGCGGUUGCGAGAAAGGCCCGCAAGGGUCGCCAACGGACGGGUCCGCGUCCCAUCAGCUAGUUGGUGAGGUAAUGGCUCACCAAGGCAAAGACGGGUAGCUGGUCUGAGAGGAUGAUCAGCCACACUGGAACUGAGACACGGUCCAGACUCCUACGGGAGGCAGCAGUGGGGAAUAUUGCGCAAUGGGCGAAAGCCUGACGCAGCCACGCCGCGUGAGCGAUGAAGGCCUGGUCGUAAGACUCUGUGGGAGGAGACGAAGAAAGACCUGUGAAGAGCAGGCCUUGACGGUAUCUCCUUAGCAAGCACCGGCUAACUACCGUGCCA
rnacentral:rRNA from 1 species